CAUCCUUUUGUGUGUAAGUUUGUAUUAGUACAUGCUAACGAUAUUCAAAAAGUACAUACCUCAAAGAAAACGAUGACGCGAGUUAUCGUCUCUAACGUUCGAGGACUACAAAAAACACUCGGAUUGUAGGCAACAGUUUACUUCCUGGGAUUGGUGACGUAGAUAAGACCAACAUUAUCAUAGUUCAGCCCUCUCUGCUUUGCUUGGGUACGCCCUCAAAGACGGGGGUGGGGAGCGCCGAGUCAGAAGAGAGCUAAAAUGGCGGAGGUUGGGAGUCCCUGCUUUGACUCUGUUUGCAAACUCUUGUUUCAUUGUUUAAGCGAUUAAAUCUCUCGAGUAGACGCUGUCUCUUUAGAUGCAAGGGCAAAAUAGCACUUUAUGGACUUACACAGAGGACAUCAUGUUUAAUACGGUUCCGGAAAAAUCCAGUCAGAAGUUCUUCACGGAGUUUUCACAAUAACUGCUUCUCAUGAACCGAAGCUGCGUGACGUCCUGAAAGUUGGAUUACCGUGCACUUCUGGAUCACAGGCUAUUCGCAGCUGGACACAUCCUUCUAACUAACACUGUAUGCAAACAUGCAACAUCAUAACACACAGUACAAGGAGUCAGACUGGCAUAUGAGGAGCAAAGGAACCCACGCAGUAGCAUCGUUUCAAAAUGUUUCCAUCACCAUCAUCAGUGGAUGCCUUUGCCGUCCGUACCCUGAGAUUUCAGAUUUGCUGCAAAAAAUGUGACUUUCCCAUUUAUUGGAAUGCUGUGCAGCCAUCCAUUACAAUGUCACCAAGCCGUAACAAAAGCAGGAGAGGGAAAGUACAAGGCUAUGUUCCCAAAACACAAAAGUGACAUACUUUAUGUGGAUGAUGUGAUCAGGCUUGUGUUUGCUGAGGUAUUUGAAGAUAAGCUGAAGGAAACCCCGAUUCCAAUGGACCUGGCAUCACAGUUUGAGAGACCUUCAAAGGAGGACGUGAUUGCAUGCCAUCUUCAGUGC